CCUACGGGUGGCACCAGUGGGGAAUUUUGGACAAUGGGCGAAAGCCUGAUCCAGCAAUGCCGCGUGCAGGAUGAAGGCCUUCGGGUUGUAAACUGCUUUUGUACGGAACGAAAAAGCUCCUUCUAAUACAGGGGGCCCAUGACGGUACCGUAAGAAUAAGCACCGGCUAACUACGUGCCAGCAGCCGCGGUAAUACGUAGGGUGCGAGCAUUAAUCGGAAUUACUGGGCGUAAAGCGUGCGCAGGCGGUUAUGUAAGACAGAUGUGAAAUCCCCGGGCUCAACCUGGGAACUGCAUUUGUGACUGCAUGGCUAGAGUACGGUAGAGGGGGAUGGAAUUCCGCGUGUAGCAGUGAAAUGCGUAGAUAUGCGGAGGAACACCGAUGGCGAAGGCAAUCCCCUGGACCUGUACUGACGCUCAUGCACGAAAGCGUGGGGAGCAAACAGGAUUAGAUACCCGAGUAGUC
rnacentral:rRNA from 1 species